rnacentral:rRNA from 1 species
UACGGGGGGGGCAAGCGUUGUUCGGAAUUACUGGGCGUAAAGGGCUCGUAGGCGGCCAACUAAGUCAGACGUGAAAUCCCUCGGCUUAACCAAGGAAGUGCACCCGAAACUGGAUAGCUUGAGUACAGAAGAGGAUCGCGGAAUUCCCGGUGUAGAGGUGAAAUUCGUAGAUAUCGGGAGGAACACCAGUGGCGAAGGCGGCGAUCUGGGCUGAUACUGACGCUGAGGUGCGAAAGCGUGGGGAGCAAACAGG